rnacentral:rRNA from 1 species
UGUAAAGUUCAAGCUCCGAUUGUGAGGGCGAAACCGCGAAUGGCUCAUUAAAUCAGUCAUGAUCUACUUGAUUGUUUAAAGUUUAGAUGGAUAACUGUGGUAAUUCUAGAGCUAAUACAUGCGUGAAGGGGGCGACUCCGCGAGGAGAAGCUCUGCGUUUAUUAGACUAAGACCGGCGGGUUCCGCAAGGGGCUCUCGCUUUGGUGGUGACUCUGAGUAAAUAAUGGGUGCAAGCCCAUGUUGCCGACCUGGCAUCCCAAACAGUCCUCGGACUGGCCAGGCGAAUCAAUCGAGUGUCUGCUCUAUCAACUGUGGAUGGUAGGGUAAUUGCCUACCAUGGUGGUGACGGGUAACGGGGAGUUAGGGCUCGACUCCGGAGAACAAGCCUGAGAAACGGCUAGUAGGACUAAGGUCUGCAGCAGGCGCGAAACUUACACAAUGCUAGAUUUCGUAAAUAGCGAUGUAGUGAAGAAAAAUAACGAUGUACUUGUAUUUAAACAUACUUGUACAAUUGGAAUGAGACGACUCUAAACCAGUCAGUCGAGUAACAAAUGGAGGGCAAGUCUGGUGCCAGCAGCCGCGGUAAUUCCAGCUCCAUUAGCAUACAUUAAAGUUGUUGCGGUUAAAAAGCUCGUAGUUGAAUUUUGGACGGGCUCUCGUGGGUUGCGGUCGUUAAAGGUUGGCUCGGCGUCUUCGGACCCUUCCAGCUGGCCGUAGUCUCACUUGGAGCCCGUUGUUUCGUCACUUAAUCGAGUGCGAAGCGGGUCGGCUUAGACGGGCACUCGUGCCCGCUUGGACGACAUGUUUACCUUGAGAAAAUUAGAGUGCUCAGAGCAGGCAGUUGGGGUGUAAAAGCCCCUUUAUGCUUGAAUAAUGUUGCAUGGAAUAAUAGAAUACGGCCUCGGUUCUAUUCUGUUGGUCUUAUAGAACAACAAACAAGUUGGUUUGGGCACUAAACGGCGCGCUGGACGGCGUGGCGUUCGCGAGUCCUUGUUGCCUGGGGCCUAAAAAUCUCAGCGCCUUGGCGAGCGAGCGUCGCUUAGCGCCCCCAGCGUUGUCAGCCCUCAACCAACUGAGGCAAUGGUUAAAAGAAAUAGUCGCGGCGGCAUCAGUACUGCAUCGUGAGAGGUGAAAUUCUUAGACCGAUGC